UGGAUCAUCCAGGGAAAACGCCGGAAGAGACUACUGAUGACGAGGUAGAAAACUUGCAUGGUGUUAUAUAUGACGAACAUAUAUGGAAGUUUGUUACUUUGGUAUUAGUGCUUACCCUUCUGCACCUAGAAAGAAAUGCUCCUUCUGAGAGCAACUACACUCCUCAAAAUUGAUGAAUCUAGGUAAUGUAAGAAUUAAUUCACUCAUUUCUGGAAAAUAAAAGGUCAAAUCAUAUUUUUGAACCUACGCAGUGACUUCUCCCUGAUGGAUCAAAUAGGAAAAACUUCAAAGAGGUCAUUUUUUGCCACACAUAACUCAAUUAAAAGUAUAAUAAUAAAUAAGGUGUAACAACCUUUGUUAUGGACAAAAAGGUUUAUACCAGUAAACAUGUGUGGGUCACCAAAGUACAGAAAUAUGUCUAGCUGAACGUAGCAAAUACUUUAUUUUCUUGAAUAAAUUCCAAUGCUCUAAUCAGCACCCUCCCUCCAUCAAACUCCACCCUCAGGCCAUAAUAUCAAACAAGCACCCCUCUCAUCUCUCAUUUUGUGAAAUGGUAGGGAUAUCUAGGGAUACAAGGAAAACCUGUUUCCAAUUUGCCUCUUUAGUUUUAACUUUUUAAGCUUCAGCUAUAGCUGAAUUUGCACUGGACAAUAAUAAGCAACCCCCUUGAUUAACCCUCUACACCAUAACAUCAUUAUGCAUAUUCUCCAUACUAUUCUCUUUACAUUUCUUAAGGUGCUGACAAGAAGAAUUAGUUUAACAAUCAAGAG